UACGUAGGUGGCGAGCGUUGUCCGGAUUUACUGGGCGUAAAGGGAGCGUAGGCGGACUUUUAAGUGAGAUGUGAAAUACCCGGGCUCAACUUGGGUGCUGCAUUCCAAACUGGAAGUCUAGAGUGCAGGAGAGGAGAAUGGAAUUCCUAGUGUAGCGGUGAAAUGCGUAGAGAUUAGGAAGAACACCAGUGGCGAAGGCGAUUCUCUGGACUGUAACUGACGCUGAGGCUCGAAAGCGUGGGGAGCAAACAGGAUUAGAUA
rnacentral:rRNA from 1 species